ensembl:lncRNA novel transcript
CACAGACACCUCCUCCUCCGGAUGACCAGGAUUGCCUCUGGGUUUGUCACAAGCUGGAACAGGGUCCUUUGGAGGAUGGGGCUCUGUGAAGAAAAAGAGGUGAAGUGUUUGGAUUCAGUCUGAGCCAAAGGCCGCUUUAUCUGGGUUUAAGGACACAAGACUCCGUGAAAGACAAGCUAGUUCUUCUUCCUGCCCCGGCAGUCCACUGCAGGCCGAUGCAGACGCAACCACUUCCUCAGCCGCUGUGGCUGAGAGCCCGCCACUGCACUCUAUGGGCUUGGUGCUGGGUAUGGAGAGGAGGGUAUGACAUAGCCCCUGCCCUCAGAGUUUUUUCCUACUCAUUAUCCCUGCUGUCUCUGGGGACUUCUUAAAUGUCAGCAAUCAUUGUCAUCUUCACUGUUGCCUCCGCAGCCACCGCACAUGGCUGCACCUGGGCCAUCUCCUCUGAUGUAAAGGCUGUGCAGCCAAAAUUUGCAAUUCUUCCCCCAGCUUUUAAAAUUGUAGUAAAAUAUAUAUAACAUAAAA